AAGUCGUAACAAGGUUUCCGUAGGUGAACCUGCGGAAGGAUCAUUAGUAAUUUUGGGGGGGCUGUCGUUGGUCGCGAGACUGGCAGACGGCUCCUUUAUUGAUCUGUGGACUGGGUUUUGGUGGUUGGGCCUGCCUGCCUUUUGGGGCUGUGUGGGUCCGCGCCGAGCCUUUUCUGCUUCUGUUUUUAUUUUACUAUUCUUAGUUGAAAAACUAGAAAUCCAAGACAACUUUCAGCAAUGGAUCUCUUGGCUCUU
rnacentral:misc_RNA from 1 species